rfam:Arabidopsis thaliana chromosome 1, complete sequence.
AAGAAUGAGGAAGACGAUGAGGAAUUAGAAGUUCUGGUGAUGUGAAAAACUCAGGUGAAGAAGAAGAGAUGAAAAUAUUUGGCCCUAUUUUAUUGUCCUUUAAUGAUGCUGACAU